rnacentral:rRNA from 1 species
GACGAACGCUGGCGGCGUGCUUAACACAUGCAAGUCGAACGGAAAGGCCCUGCUUUUGUGGGGUGCUCGAGUGGCGAACGGGUGAGUAACACGUGAGUAACCUGCCCUUGACUUUGGGAUAACUUCAGGAAACUGGGGCUAAUACCGGAUAGGAGCUCCUGCUGCAUGGUGGGGGUUGGAAAGUUUCGGCGGUUGGGGAUGGACUCGCGGCUUAUCAGCUUGUUGGUGGGGUAGUGGCUUACCAAGGCUUUGACGGGUAGCGGGCCUGAGAGGGUGACCGGCCACAUUGGGACUGAGAUACGGCACAGACGCCUACGGGAGGCAGCAGUGGGGAAUAUUGCACAAUGGGCGGAAGCCUGAUGCAGCAACGCCGCGUGCGGGAUGACGGCCUUCGGGUUGUAAACCGCUUUCGCCUGUGACGAAGCGUGAGUGACGGUAAUGGGUAAAGAAGCACCGGCUAACUACGUG